rnacentral:rRNA from 1 species
AACGAACGCUGGCGGCAUGCCUAACACAUGCAAGUCGAACGAGACCUUCGGGUCUAGUGGCGCACGGGUGCGUAACGCGUGGGAACCUGCCCUUAGGUUCGGAAUAACUCCCCGACAGGGGUGCUAAUACCGGAUAAUGUCUUCGGACCAAAGAUUUAUCGCCUUUGGAUGGGCCCGCGUUGGAUUAGCUCGUUGGUAGGGUAAAAGCCUACCAAGGCGACGAUCCAUAGCUGGUCUGAGAGGAUGAUCAGCCACACUGGGACUGAGACACGGCCCAGAAUCCUACGGGAGGCAGCAGUGGGGAAUAUUGGACAAUGGGCGAAAGCCUGAUCCAGCAAUGCCGCGUGAGUGAUGAAGGCCUUAGGGUUGUAAAGCUCUUUUACCCGGGAUGAUAAUGACAGUACCGGGAGAAUAAGCUCCGGCUAACUCCGUG